AGUGAACGCUGGCGGUAGGCCUAACACAUGCGAGUCGAACGGCAGCACAGUAAGAGCUUGCUCUUACGGGUGGCGAGUGGCGGACGGGUGAGGAAUACAUCGGAAUCUACUUUUUCGUGGGGGAUAACGUAGGGAAACUUACGCUAAACCGCAUACGACCUACGGGUGAAAGCAGGGGAUCUUCGGACCUUGCGCGAUUGAAUGAGCCGAUGUCGGAUUAGCUAGUUGGCGGGGUAAAGGCCCACCAAGGCGACGAUCCGUAGCUGGUCUGAGAGGAUGAUCAGCCACACUGGAACUGAGACACGGUCCAGACUCCUACGGGAGGCAGCAGUGGGGAAUAUUGGACAAUGGGCGCAAGCCUGAUCCAGCCAUACCGCGUGGGUGAAGAAGGCCUUCGGGUUGUAAAGCCCUUUUGUUGGGAAAGAAAAGCAGCAGGUUAAUACCCCGCUGUUCUGACGGUACCCAAAGAAUAAGCACCGGCUAACUUCGUG
rnacentral:rRNA from 1 species